GAUGAACGCUGGCGGCGUGCCUAACACAUGCAAGUCGAACGGAGAUUACGGACGGAAGUUUUCGGAUGGAAGCCUGUAAUUCUUAGUGGCGGACGGGUGAGUAACGCGUGGGCAACCUGCCCUAUACAGGGGGAUAGCAGCUGGAAACGGCUGGUAAGACCGCAUAAGUCGGUUAAAUCGCAUGAUUUGAUCGGGAAAUGAGCAAUCAGGUAUAGGAUGGGCCCGCGUCCGAUUAGCCAGUUGGCAGGGUAAAAGCCUACCAAAGCGACGAUCGGUAGCCGGACUGAGAGGUCGGACGGACACAUUGGGACUGAGACACGGCCCAAACUCCUACGGGAGGCAGCAGUGGGGGAUAUUGCACAAUGGAGGAAACGCUGAUGCAGCGACGCCGCGUGAGUGAAGAAGUAUUUCGGUAUGUAAAGCUCUAUCAGCAGGGAAGAUGAUGACGGUACCUGACUAAGAAGCCCCGGCUAACUACGUG
rnacentral:rRNA from 1 species